ensembl:snoRNA SNORD36 Small nucleolar RNA SNORD36
UGGCAAUGAUGUCUGAAUUUCUUCACCUGAAUCCUCUGUAGAUCAUCUAACUAACCCUGAGCAGA